UACAGAGGGGGCAAGCGUUGUUCGGAAUUACUGGGCGUAAAGGGCGCGUAGGCGGCCUGCUAAGUCGAACGUGAAAUCCCCGGGCUCAACCCGGGAACUGCGUCCGAUACUGGCAGGCUUGAAUCCGGGAGAGGGAUGCGGAAUUCCAGGUGUAGCGGUGAAAUGCGUAGAUAUCUGGAGGAAUACCGGUGGCGAAGGCGGCAUCCUGGACCGAGAUUGACACUGAUGAGCGAAAGCUAGGGGAGCAAACGGG
rnacentral:rRNA from 1 species